CGAAGGGGGCUAGCGUUGUUCGGAAUUACUGGGCGUAAAGGGCGCGUAGGCGGUCCUGAUCGUCGGAUGUGAAAGGCCUGGGCUCAACCUGGGAACUGCAACCGAUACGGCGGGCCUGGAGUGUGGGAGAGGUUGGUGGAAUUCCCAGUGUAGAGGUGAAAUUCGUAGAUAUUGGGAAGAACACCGGUGGCGAAGGCGGCCAACUGGACCACAACUGACGCUGAGGCGCGAAAGCGUGGGGAGCAAACAGGAUUAGAUACCCUGGUAGUCCACGCUGUAAACGAUGCGUGCUAGACGUUGGGAGACCUAGUCUCUCGGUGUCGUCGCUAACGCUUUAAGCACGCCGCCUGGGGAGUACGGCCGCAAGGUUA
rnacentral:rRNA from 1 species